AGGUCAUUUAGAAGAGGACCUGUGGGCCAGAGAAUCAAAUUGCUUUCAGGCUGUGACCGAAGACUGACAUGUUCCACAAGACGACAUAAUCAAUGGCGCUGUGUUUUCUGAGACAAUACAG
ensembl:snoRNA